GACAAUAUGGCGGUAAUGCACGCAGUGAAUAAUCAGUCGGCGGCGUCAAAACCGGUGGUCCGGUUGCUGCGGCACUUCGUCCUAAUGUGCAUGUCCCGCAAUGUUGUCUUUCGCGCGCGCCAUGUGCCUGGGUACUUGAACGAAGUGGCUGACGCUCUCUCUCGUUUUCAGUGGUCCCGAUUCUGGACGGUGGCAUCGGAGGCGCAGGAAGCGGGCCAGGCGUGCCCGGACGAAAUUUGGCGGCCGGGAGCGUCCUGCUUGGGGGACUUGUGAAGG